rnacentral:rRNA from 1 species
UACAGAGGUCUCAAGCGUUGUUCGGAUUCAUUGGGCGUAAAGGGUGCGUAGGCGGUCGUGCAAGUCUGAUGUGAAAUCUUCACCACUCAACGGGAAGAGGUCAUUGGAAACUGCGCGACUUGAGUUUGGUAGAGGCUAGCGGAAUUCCUGGUGUAGCGGUGGAAUGUGUAGAUAUCAGGAAGAACACCUGUGGCGAAGGCGGCUAGCUGGGCCAAUACUGACGCUGAGGCACGAAAGCGUGGGGAGCAAACGGG